rnacentral:rRNA from 1 species
AUUGAACGCUGGCGGCAUGCCUUACACAUGCAAGUCGAACGGCAGCACGGGUGCUUGCACCUGGUGGCGAGUGGCGAACGGGUGAGUAAUACAUCGGAACAUGUCCUGUAGUGGGGGAUAGCCCGGCGAAAGCCGGAUUAAUACCGCAUACGAUCUACGGAUGAAAGCGGGGGACCUUCGGGCCUCGCGCUAUAGGGUUGGCCGAUGGCUGAUUAGCUAGUUGGUGGGGUAAAGGCCUACCAAGGCGACGAUCAGUAGCUGGUCUGCGAGGACGACCAGCCACACUGGGACUGAGACACGGCCCAGACUCCUACGGGAGGCAGCAGUGGGGAAUUUUGGACAAUGGGCGAAAGCCUGAUCCAGCAAUGCCGCGUGUGUGAAGAAGGCCUUCGGGUUGUAAAGCACUUUUGUCCGGAAAGAAAUCCUUGGCCCUAAUACGGUCGGGGGAUGACGGUACCGGAAGAAUAAGCACCGGCUAACUACGUG